rnacentral:rRNA from 1 species
CGGCAGCACGGGUGCUUGCACCUGGUGGCGAGUGGCGAACGGGUGAGUAAUACAUCGGAACAUGUCCUGUAGUGGGGGAUAGCCCGGCGAAAGCCGGAUUAAUACCGCAUACGAUCUACGGAUGAAAGCGGGGGACCUUCGGGCCUCGCGCUAUAGGGUUGGCCGAUGGCUGAUUAGCUAGUUGGUGGGGUAAAGGCCUACCAAGGCGACGAUCAGUAGCUGGUCUGAGAGGACGACCAGCCACACUGGGACUGAGACACGGCCCAGACUCCUACGGGAGGCAGCAGUGGGGAAUUUUGGACAAUGGGCGAAAGCCUGAUCCAGCAAUGCCGCGUGUGUGAAGAAGGCCUUCGGGUUGUAAAGCACUUUUGUCCGGAAAGAAAUCCUUGGUUCUAAUAUAGCCGGGGGAUGACGGUACCGGAAGAAUAAGCACCGGCUAACUACGUGCCAGCAGCCGCGGUAAUACGUAGGGUGCGAGCGUUAAUCGGAAUUACUGGGCGUAAAGCGUGCGCAGGCGGUUUGCUAAGACCGAUGUGAAAUCCCCGGGCUCAACCUGGGAACUGCAUUGGUGACUGGCAGGCUAGAGUAUGGCAGAGGGGGGUAGAAUUCCACGUGUAGCAGUGAAAUGCGUAGAGAUGUGGAGGAAUACCGAUGGCGAAGGCAGCCCCCUGGGCCAAUACUGACGCUCAUGCACGAAAGCGUGGGGAGCAAACAGG